UGGUGAAUCAAAUGCUCAAACAGACAUCGCAAAUGAUAAAUCAAAUGCAAAUGAGGUGUCAAUCAACCAGCAUAGGCGGAGCUUUAAGGCGGAAGAGUUUGUUGUUGACAACAACCGGUAGCGCUACGACUUUUUCAAGGCGUUCAGAUUUGCGUGCACUAUUCCACGUCGUAUCCAUAUAAACUCGUGAAAGAGAAAGCGAGAAAUCUCCUAAUGCUUCUGUCCACAUUCUGAAGUGUUCAUCAGAUGGGUACAUCUAUCACAGGAGGCCACGAAAAACCAUACGAUAACCAAGAUGAUAAAAAAGUUACAUAACUGACGUUACAAGCGCAACUUUAAAUAAAUGCCUUUCUAAUGUUGGCACAUUGGUACAUCUGCACAAAGAUGUCGGACAGCUGCUUGAAGAUCUUCCUUUGGAGAAAUUUUACACUCGAAAAAUACAAAACCCCAUGUUCUGCUGCAUGCUGGACUUCUGGACUUCACUUGUUUUUGCCAUCACAUCCCUCAGUGCUGCAGUCAGACUGGAACAGAGUUGUGAGGUGAGGCUGUCCAUGCCUGAGAAACCGAUUCAUACUGAAGA